UUCUCUCUGCAUGGAGACUGUACUUCUCCUGAGCUGCUACCAGUCAUAGGAAGGGAAAGCUGGAUACACCUGUGUACAAGGACUUCUUGGUGGUCCCUGGGUGAGCAGCACGUGCAGGCACUGUUGUGUGUCUCCUCUGCUGGUGGCCUGGAAAAAGAGCAGUGUUUUCCUGUGCUUGCAGGCACUAUAGAAAGUCCCCUGAUGUUUCACCAAGGGAUCGGGAAGCAUAUGGGCAUUUUCCCAAACCUCACUGUAAUGCAGCUUACAGCUAUGGUGACAGAGAGGUUGGGAGCAGAUGGGCACCUGAUUUAUUUGUCAGCUCUUCUUCCUCUGAAACUGGUCAGUUCACAUUUGCACUUUAUUAUUGCCACGUAUUGGUGAUCUAGGUGAAUCAUGGAUCAUGCAUGUGUUUUAAAUUAAAGCUUAGUGUGGAGACGACGCAUUUGUUUGCACUUGCAGUUACAUCAGUUAUUACUCAUUAAUUAGCUACGUUGGAGGAUGUGGAAUUAUCUCAUAGUAAAUUGUGCUUUCCAAAUAAUCCUUAGUUAAAUGUAAAAUGGCAACUGCUCUUUAGUGGUGGAAGUUAUUAAAAUAAAAGAAAGAGAGGAGUCUCCUUAAAUGACUGUGAAAACCCACAGAAUGCCAUUAUGGAAAGGAAAAAUAAUCUACUUUCUUUGUGUUCUUAUGCACUUGUGCCUUCUUUUCCCAUCCUACAUUUCAUUAGGGUGCCAAGCAGACAGUGAAUUGCCAAUAGAGUAUAAAAUACAGCUAUGUCCAAAUAAGCCUCUAAUUCAUUUUGAUGACAGAUUCCAUCCCCAUAAUGGGUGCAGCCCACUUAAUGCAGCUGUCGACAGCCAACUAUUAUGAGAAGUGUAUGAACAACAUGCUGUAUCUUCUCACGUUCUAUGAGAUACGUCCUCCAUUCUCCUUCUCCCCUCUCAGACUUGAUGUAUCUGCAAAUAUCCUUCCCCAAAAUAAAUGUUUGCAUGAUGGCAAAAUAAGUUAAUGAGUUCCUAGCUGAUGAGUUCCAAGUGAAAUGCUUUUCUAUACGGCAAUACCUUGAACCAUGUGCGUGUAACCUGAGGAGUACUCACUUCUGAAAAAGUACAUUCUAACAGGAAUUUUUCUUCUCCCAUGUUUUCCUGAGUCGUGUAUCUCUGUGGUUUAUGUCAGAGGAUAUGAAAGCUGACUCCAAUAAUUCAAUCAGAAGAGGUGGAGACGGGCCCACCAUAGCUCGGCUGGGACUUCGAGUGCCUCCGCAGUUCCUGCCCUAACUGAAGUAUGUUCUGGUGCUGAAGUGCCCGUAUAAAGUGCUGCCCUGUGACCCUGGAAAGAUUCCUUUCUAAUGUCAUCAGGGUCCCCACCACUGUCUGUACUUCCCUGGGGUAAUCAGUUUAGGUUCCCCAUCUGCCUGCCCUGUUAUAACUAUGGAAAAUAAAAUGAUUUUUAUGACACUCUCCCAUAAGAUAAAUGGAAUAAUAAAAUCAGAUAAAUGACAUGAUUACUAAAAAUCUAUGUCACUUAAAUGAACUGUAUGAAAAGACCCUUUACAAGCUGUUAAGAUUUUGUGCUGAAAAGCUGUAUAUCCAACCAAGCAAUUACAUCCUCAAAUUUGCC
ensembl:lncRNA